GAUGAACGCUGGCGGCGUGCCUAAUACAUGCAAGUCGAGCGAACAGACGAGGAGCUUGCUCCUCUGACGUUAGCGGCGGACGGGUGAGUAACACGUGGAUAACCUACCUAUAAGACUGGGAUAACUUCGGGAAACCGGAGCUAAUACCGGAUAAUAUAUUGAACCGCAUGGUUCAAUAGUGAAAGACGGUUUUGCUGUCACUUAUAGAUGGAUCCGCGCCGCAUUAGCUAGUUGGUAAGGUAACGGCUUACCAAGGCAACGAUGCGUAGCCGACCUGAGAGGGUGAUAGGCCACACUGGAGCGGAGACACGGUCCAGACUCCUACGGGAGGCAGCAGUAGGGAAUGUGCCGCAAAGGGCGAAAGCCUGACGGAGCAACGCCGCGCGAGUGACGAAGGUCUUCGGAUCGUAAAACUCUGUUAUUAGGGAAGAACAAAUGUGUAAGUAACUAUGCACGUCUUGACGGUACCUAAUAAGAAAGCCACGGCUAACUACGUG
rnacentral:rRNA from 1 species